AUUGUACGCUGGCGGCAGGCCUAACACAUGCAAGUCGAACGAUUGGCGGACGGCUGAGUAAUGUCUGGGAAACUGCCUGCUGGAGGGGGAUAACUACUGGAAACGGUAGCUAAUACCGCAUACCAUCAGAUGUUCCCAGAUGGGAUUCGCUAGUUGGUGGGGUAACGGCUCACCAAGGCUAAGAUCCCUAGCUGGUCUGAGAGGAUGACCAGCAACACUGGAACUGAGACACGGUCAAGAAGCAUACGGGAGGGAGCAGUGGGGAAUAUUGCACAAUGGGCGCAAGCCUGAUGCAGCCAUGCCGCGUGUAUGAAGAAGGCCUUCGGGUUGUAAAGUACUUUCAGCGGGGAGGCGUUACCCGCAGAAGAAGCACCGGCUAACUCCGUGCCAGCAGCCGCGGUAAUAC
rnacentral:rRNA from 1 species